AAGUCGUAACAAGGUCUCCGUUGGUGAACCAGCGGAGGGAUCAUUACAGAGUUGCAAAACUCCCACAAACCAUCGCGAAUCUUACCCGUACGGUUGCCUCGGCGCUGGCGGUCCGGAAGGCCCUCGGGCCCCCCGGAUCCUCGGGUCUCCCGCUCGCGGGAGGCUGCCCGCCGGAGUGCCGAAACCAAACUCUUGAUAUUUUAUGUCUCUCUGAGUAAACUUUUAAAUAAGUCAAAACUUUCAACAACGGAUCUCUUGGUUCUGGCAUCGAUGAAGAACGCAGCGAAAUGCGAUAAGUAAUGUGAAUUGCAGAAUUCAGUGAAUCAUCGAAUCUUUGAACGCACAUUGCGCUCGCCAGUAUUCUGGCGAGCAUGCCUGUUCGAGCGUCAUUUCAACCAUCAAGCUCUGCUUGCGUUGGGGAUCCGCGGCUGCCCGCGGUCCCUCAAAAACAGUGGCGGGCUCGCUAGUCACACCGAGCGUAGUAACUCUACAUCGCUAUGGUCGUGCGGCGGGUUCUUGCCGUAAAACCCCCCCAUUUCUAAGGUUGACCUCGGAUCAGGUAGGAAUACCCGCUGAACUUAAGCAUAUCAAUA
rnacentral:rRNA from 1 species